CUACGGAGGGUGCAAGCGUUACUCGGAAUCACUGGGCGUAAAGCGCGCGCAGGCGGUCUUUUAAGUUGGAUGUGAAAGCCUACAGCUCAACUGUAGAACUGCAUCCAAAACUAUUAGACUAGAGUCUGGGAGGGGAAGAUGGAAUUAGUUGUGUAGGGGUAAAAUCCGUAGAGAUAACUAGGAAUACCAAAAGCGAAGGCGAUCUUCUGGAACAGUACUGACGCUGAGGCGCGAAAGCGUGGGGAGCAAACAGGAUUAGAAACCCCAGUAGUCC
rnacentral:rRNA from 1 species